rnacentral:rRNA from 1 species
UAAUGGCCUACCAAGACGACGACGGGUAGCUGGUCUUAGAGGACGAUCAGCAGGAUUGGGGACUGAGAUACGGCCCAGACUCCUACGGGGGGCAGCAAUUAGGAAUCUUGCGCAAUGGGGGAAACCCUGACGCAGCGACGCCGCGUGCGGGAUGAAGGCAUUCGUGUCGUAAACCGCUUUUACCAGGGAAGAAGAAUGUGACGGUACCUGGUGAAUAAGCCCCGGCUAACUACGUGCCAGCAGCCGCGGUAAUACGAAGGGGGCGAGCGUUGCUGGGAAUCACUGGGCGUAAAGGGUGCGUAGGCGGGUCUUUAAGUCAGGGGUGAAAUGCCAAGGCUCAUCCUUGGAACUGCCUUUGAUACUGGAGAUCUUGAGUCCGGGAGAGGUGAGUGGAACUGCGAGUGUAGAGGUGAAAUU